rnacentral:rRNA from 1 species
UACGUAUGUCCCGAGCGUUAUCAGGAUUUAUUGGGCGUAAAGCGAGCGCAGACGGUUGAUUAAGUCUGAUGUGAAAGCCCGGAGCUCAACUCCGGAAUGGCAUUGGAAACUGGUUAACUUGAGUGUUGUAGAGGUAAGUGGAACUCCAUGUGUAGCGGUGGAAUGCGUAGAUAUAUGGAAGAACACCAGUGGCGAAGGCGGCUUACUGGACAACAACUGACGUUGAGGCUCGAAAGUGUGGGUAGCAAACAGG